rnacentral:tRNA from 1 species
GGCAUAGCUCAGUGGUAGAGCCUUUACCUGGCAAGCACAAGACCCUGGGUUCUAAUCCCUGGAUUUGUCA